UGCGCCUCUCUCUCUCCUUCUCUCUCUCUCUCUCUUUUUUUUUUUUUUGUCUCAGUCGUGUGGACAUCAUUGGGAAUAAGUGACUGUAUGGUCCUUACGUUUUAAGUUUCACACUGGAAGUUCAGGAAGGCUGUGCUUGAGCCGGCGUCUGCCUCUUGACGGUCACAGCACCCUUCCUGGGGAGGUGGAAGCAUCAGCUCCUCUGUGAAUAACUGGGAGAUGAAACAGGAAGCUCUAUGACACACUUGAUCGAAAAUGACACAGACAAAAAAAAAAAAAAAAAUCAGGACUCAGCCCCCUCCGACGCCUCUCCUGGCUGCCUGUUGCCCAUGGCAGGGGUGCCGAUGACCGGUCUGCCCUGGUUCCAGCUCUGACAGGCCUGGAUGUCAAAGGCUUCUGUGUUCGCUGGUGAUGCGUCUGUGGCAUUACGUCCAUGGUCUCAUAUGGGCGGUUUCCUACUUAUCUGGCCAGGUUCCAUGUGUCUUAAUCCCUUUUCUUCAUUAAAAGCAAAACUGAAAAAAAAA